UACGGAGGGUGCAAGCGUUACUCGGAAUCACUGGGCGUAAAGCGCGCGCAGGCGGCUUUGUAAGUUGGAUGUGAAAUCCUAUGGCUCAACCAUAGAACUGCAUCCAAAACUACUUAGCUAGAGUCUGGGAGGGGAAGAUGGAAUUAGUGGUGUAGGGGUAAAAUCCGUAGAGAUCACUAGGAAUACCAAAAGCGAAGGCGAUCUUCUGGAACAGUACUGACGCUGAGGCGCGAAAGCGUGGGGAGCAAACAGGAUUAGAUACCCUGGUAGUCCACGCCCUAAACGAUGAAUGUUAGUCGUCGGGUAGCUAGUCUAUUCGGUGAUGCAGUUAACACAUUAAACAUUCCGCCUGGGGAGUACGGUCGCAAGAUUAAAACUCAAAGGAAUAGACGGGGACCCGCACAAGUGGUGGAGCAUGUGGUUUAAUUCGAAGAUACGCGAAGAACCUUACCUGGCCUUGACAUUGAUAGAAUCUGCUAGAGAUAGCGGAGUGCCUUUCGGGGAGCUUGAAACCAGGUGCUGCACGGCUGUCGUCAGCUCGUGUCGUGAGAUGUUGGGUUAAGUCCCGCAACGAGCGCAACCCUCGUUCUUAGUUACUAACGGUUCGGCCGAGGACUCUAAGAAGACUGCCUUCGCAAGGAGGAGGAAGGUGAGGACGACGUCAAGUCAUCAUGGCCCUUACGGCCAGGGCAACACACGUGCUACAAUGGGUAGGACAAUGAGACGCGAUACCGCGAGGUGGGGCAAAUCUAUAAACCUAUUCUCAGUUCGGAUUGUAGUCUGCAACUCGACUACAUGAAGCUGGAAUCACUAGUAAUCGUAGAUCAGCUAUGCUACGGUGAAUACGUUCCCGGGUCU
rnacentral:rRNA from 1 species